rnacentral:rRNA from 1 species
CUGGCGGCWGGCUUAACACAUGCAAGUCNAACGCCCCGCAAGGGGAGUGGCAGACGGGUGAGUAACACGUGGGAACGUGCCCUAAGCUUCGGAAUAUUCCCGGGAAACUGGGAGCAAUACCGAAUGUGACCGCAAGGUGAAAGAUUUAUCGCCUUAGGAUCGGCCCGCGUCGGAUUAGCUAGUUGGUGGGGUAAAAGCCUACCAAGGCGACGAUCCGUAGCUGGUCUGAGAGGACGACCAGCCACACUGGGACUGAGGCACGGCCCAGACUCCUACGGGAGGCAGCAGUGGGGAAUCUUGGACAAUGGGCGCAAGCCUGAUCCAGCCAUGCCGCGUGGAUGAUGAAGGCCUUAGGGUUGUAAAAUCCUUUCGUCAGGGACGAUAAUGACGGUACCUGAAGAAGAAGCCCCGGCUAACUUCGUGCCAGCAGCCGCGGUAAUACGAAGGGGGCUAGCGUUGUUCGGAUUUACUGGGCGUAAAGCGCGUGUAGGCGGACUUGUAAGUUGGGGGUGAAAUCCCGAGGCUCAACCUCGGAACUGCCUCCAAAACUACAAGUCUGGAGCAAGAUAG